GACGAACGCUGGCGGCGUGCUUAACACAUGCAAGUCGAGCGGUAAGGCCCUUUCGGGGGUACACGAGCGGCGAACGGGUGAGUAACACGUGGGUGACCUGCCCUCAGCUCUGGGAUAAGCCUGGGAAACUGGGUCUAAUACUGGAUAUGACUCCACGGUGCAUGUCGUGGGGUGGAAAGCCUUGUGCGGCUGAGGAUGGGCCCGCGGCCUAUCAGCCUGUUGGUGGGGUGANGGCCUACCAAGGCGACGACGGGUAGCCGGCCUGAGAGGGCGACCGGCCACACUGGGACUGAGACACGGCCCAGACUCCUACGGG
rnacentral:rRNA from 1 species